rnacentral:rRNA from 1 species
UAUCCUACGGGACGCAGCAGUGGGGAAUAUUGGGCAAUGGGCGAAAGCCUGACCCAGCAACGCCGCGUGAAGGAAGAAGGCUUUCGGGUUGUAAACUUCUUUUGACAGGGAAGAGCAGAAGACGGUACCUGUCGAAUAAGCCACGGCUAACUACGUGCCAGCAGCCGCGGUAAUACGUAUGGGGCAAGCGUUAUCCGGAUUUACUGGGUGUAAAGGGAGCGUAGGCGGCCUGGCAAGCCUGAUGUGAAAUACCGGGGCCCAACCCCGGGGCUGCAUUGGGAACUGCCAGGCUGGAGUGCCGGAGG